AUCCAGUUGACGAGUCCGAAAUAGGACGAAACGUGCUUCCUGGAU
rnacentral:hammerhead_ribozyme from 1 species